CAUGACGGCGUGGCAUGCGGGCGCGGUGAUGCAGGUGGGGCAAGAGUUAAGCGGAGUUACAGGGCUGAAAGGUUGCUCAGGUGUGUUCUUAAUGUGGUUGUGAUAUCCCUUUGGUUAACCUGGGAAGUGCAGUUGAUACUGGUGAACUAGAGUGUGGUAGAGGGUGGCAGAACUCCGGGUGUAGCGGUGAAAUGCGUAGAUAUCAGGAAGAAUACCGAUGGCGAAGGCAGCCACCUGGGCCUGCACUGACGCUGAUGUACGAAAGCGUGGGGAGCAAACAGGAUUAGAUACCCUAGUAGUC
rnacentral:rRNA from 1 species